rnacentral:rRNA from 1 species
UACAGAGGUCUCAAGCGUUGUUCGGAUUUACUGGGCGUAAAGGGCUCGUAGGCGGCCAACUAAGUCAGACGUGAAAUCCCUCGGCUUAACCGGGGAACUGCGUCUGAUACUGGAUGGCUUGAGUUUGGGAGAGGGAUGCGGAAUUCCAGGUGUAGCGGUGAAAUGCGUAGAUAUCUGGAGGAACACCGGUGGCGAAGGCGGCAUCCUGGACCAACACUGACGCUGAGGAGCGAAAGCCAGGGAGCAACGGG